ACAGAGGUCCCAAGCGUUGUUCGGAUUCACUGGGCGUAAAGGGUGCGCAGGCGGAAUGAUAAGUCAGUGGUGAAAUCCUACAGCUCAACUGUAGAACUGCCAUUGAUACUGUUGUUCUUGAGUACACUUGGAGUGGGCGGAAUGUGUCAUGUAGCGGUGAAAUGCUUAGAUAUGACACAGAACACCGAUCGCGAAGGCAGCUCACUAAAUUGUAACUGACGCUCAUGCACGAAAGCGUGGGGAUCAAACAG
rnacentral:rRNA from 1 species